AGUUUACGUUGUGGGGACAAGCUGCUCCUUACCAGAAGAAAGGUCCCACAAGCAAAUGGAUUUUGGACAGCAGGAUGCCAGCGUUACCUCUACUGAGUGCUGAUUGGUUGGCGAGCAAAGCAGCUCAUUGACUAUUCACGCUCACUGACGACAUGAAUAAAUAUGAGGCUCUGUUUAAACUCCUAUAACUUGAGUUUAAAAGCUCUUAUAUCUUUAUAAACUAUGCUUUUGCUCUGAUGCUCCAUCUUAACCCAUUCAUUUUGGACUCGCUCAGGAGCGCCCUCUAGUAUCUGACAAACCCAGAAGACGAUUUCAGCCAUGUCUCAUCCACGAUUCAAAUUGCAUCGAGUCGAGAUGGAAAACAAUAACACUGAACUCAACAGCUCCAAACCAACUGAAAUACAUUACCCAGAAUGCACCAGCCAUUGAAGACUCCCUUCCGAGCUGCAUCAGAACCAGAUGCUUACGGUCUGUAAAUGACUGAUUUCGGAUGUUCUAGCCCAGGAAUGUCUACCACCACACACACACACACACACACACACACACACACACACACACACACACACACAGUUUGAGAAUCCUUCCUCUCAUAUGUCACACAUGUGCGCGCGCGCACACACACACACAUUUAGAAUCUUACAAACUCACCCUAACUCUACGCACGCACACACACACAUUUACAUUUAUGUAGUCUUAUAUUUAUAGUCUUUAAACAUAGGCCCAGAGAACCGCCCAGCCCCCCCCACGCACACACUUUUAGCAGUGUGUGAACCUUCACAUCUCAGUAGCACACAAACCAGCUCCAGACACAGCAGAGGAGAAAGAUGGAUGAGAGAGAAACGCUCCAAAAACAGCCCAGGAGAAAAAAGAUGGACACGUACCACUGAGCUUCACCCUGAGAACAGAGAGAGACAGAGAGAGAGACAGAGAGAGAGACAGAGAGAGAGACAGAGAGAGAGACAGAGAGAGAGACAGAGAGAGAGACAGAGAGAGAGACAGAGAGAGAGACAGAGAGAACGCACCAGUCCCUGCUGAGCCAAAUCCAUCUCACUGGAAAAUGUUCCGACUUUCUUUCCAACUUACCCUUCCUUUGUUUACAGAAAGACU